rnacentral:rRNA from 1 species
CCUACGGGAGGCAGCAGUGAGGAAUAUUGGUCAAUGGACGCAAGUCUGAACCAGCCAUGCCGCGUGCAGGAAGACGGCUCUAUGAGUUGUAAACUGCUUUUGUACGGGGGUAAACGCAGAUACGCGUAUCUGUCUGAAAGGAUCGUACGAAUAAGGAUCGGCUAACUCCGUGCCAGCAGCCGCGGUAAUACGGAGGAUUCAAGCGUUAUCCGGAUUUAUUGGGUUUAAAGGGUGCGUAGGCGGUCGGAUAAGUUAGAGGUGAAAUCCCGACGCUCAACUUCGGAAUUGCCUCUGAUACUGUCCGGCUAGAGAGUAGUUGCGGUAGGUGGAAUGUAUGGUGUAGCGGUGAAAUGCUUAGAGAUCAUACAGAACACCGAUUGCGAAGGCAGCUUACCAAGCUACUUCUGACGUUGAGGCACGAAAGCGUGGGGAGCAAACAGGAUUAGAUACCCCAGUAGUC